AUCCACCUGACAAGUCCCAAAUAGGACGAAACGCGCAUCCUGGAU
rnacentral:hammerhead_ribozyme from 1 species